AUUGAACGCUGGCGGCAGGCCUAACACAUGCAAGUCGAGCGAGCGGCGGACGGGUGAGUAAUGUAUGGGGACUGCCCGAUAGAGGGGGAUAACUACUGGAAACGGUGGCUAAUACCGCAUACCAUCGGAUACCCCAUAUGGGAUUAGCUUGUAGGUCAGGUAACGGCGUACCUAGGCGACGAUCCCUAGCUGGUCUGAGAGGAUGAUCAGCAACACUGGAACGGAAACACGGCCCGGAGUCCUACGGAGGCAGCAGUGGGGAAUAUUGCACAAUGGGCGCAAGCCUGAUGCAGCCAUGCCGCGUGUAUGAAGAAGGCCUUCGGGUUGUAAAGUACUUUCAGUCGGGAGGCGUUACCGACAGAAGAAGCACCGGCUAACUCCGUGCCAGCAGCCGCGGUAAUAC
rnacentral:rRNA from 1 species